rnacentral:rRNA from 1 species
UACGGAGGGUGCAAGCGUUAUCCGGAUUCACUGGGUUUAAAGGGAGCGUAGGUGGCUUUGUAAGUCAGUGGUGAAAUAUUGCGGCUCAACCGCAAAACUGCCAUUGAUACUGCUUAGCUUGAAUCACGUCGAGGUGGAUGGAAUAAUACAUGUAGCGGUGAAAUGCUUAGAUAUGUAUUAGAACACCGAUUGCGAAGGCAGUUCACUAGGCGUGUAUUGACACUGAGGCUCGAAAGCGUGGGGAGCGAACAGG